rnacentral:tRNA from 1 species
GUGCUCGUAGCUCAGUUGGAUAGAGCAACGGAUUUCUAAUCCGUAGGUCACAGGUUCGAGUCCUGUCGAGCACA